AAACGACUCUCGGCAACGGAUAUCCCGGCUCUCGCAUCGAUGAAGAACGUAGCGAAAUGCGAUACUUGGUGUGAAUUGCAGAAUCCCGUGAACCAUUGAGUCUUUGAACGCAAGUUGCGCCUGAAGCCCUAGGCUGAGGGCACGUCUGCCUGGGUGUCACGC
rnacentral:rRNA from 1 species